rnacentral:rRNA from 1 species
GCCGGACCUGACUGCUAUCCGCCUGAUCUUCGAUACUAAGCCAUGCGAGUCAUUGUAGCAAUACAAGGCAGACGGCUCAGUAACGCGUAGUCAAUCUACCCUAUGGACGGGAAUAACCUCGGGAAACUGAGAAUAAUGCCCGAUAGAACAUUAUGCCUGGAAUGGUUUAUGUUUCAAAUGAUUUAUCGCCAUAGGAUGGGACUGCGGCCUAUCAGUUUGUUGGUGAGGUAAUGGCCCACCAAGACUAUUACAGGUACGGGCUCUGAGAGGAGUGGCCCGGAGAUGGGUACUGAGACACGGACCCAGGCCCUAUGGGGCGCAGCAGGCGAGAAAACUUUGCAAUGUGCGAAAGCACGACAAGGUUAAUCCGAGUGGUUUCUGCUAAAGAAACCUUUUGUCAGUCCUAGAAACACUAACGAAUAAGGGGUGGGCAAGUUCUGGUGUCAGCCGCCGCGGUAAAACCAGCACCUCAAGUGGUCAGGAUGAUUAUUGGGCCUAAAGCAUCCGUAGCUCGUUUUGUAAGUUUUCGGUUAAAUCCAUGCGCUUAACGUAUGGGCUGCCGGGAAUACUGCAUAACUAGGAAGUGGGAGAGGUAGACGGUACUCGGUAGGAAGGGGUAAAAUCCUUUGACCUAUUGAUGACCACCUGUGGCGAAGGCGGUCUACCAGAACCACGUUCGACGGUGAGGGAUGAAAGCUGGGGGAGCAAACCGGAUUAGAUACCCGGGUAGUCCCAGCUGUAAACUAUGCAAACUCAGUGAUGCAUUGGCUUGUGGCCAAUGCAGUGCUGCAGGGAAGCCGUUAAGUUUGCCGCCUGGGAAGUACGUACGCAAGUAUGAAACUUAAAGGAAUUGGCGGGGGAGCACCAC